CGCAAAAUGACUCUCGGCAACGGAUAUCUCGGCUCUUGCAUCGAUGAAGAACGUAGCGAAAUGCGAUACUUGGUGUGAAUUGCAGAAUCCCGUGAACCAUCGAGUCUUUGAACGCAAGUUGCGCCCGAAGCCAUUAGGCCGAGGGCACGCCUGCCUGGGUGUCACA
rnacentral:rRNA from 4 species